CCUUUCGAAAGAAAGAUUAAUACCUGAUGGUAUGAUGAGGUUGCAUGAUAGCAUCAUUAAAGAUUUAUCGGUGUACGAUGGGGAUGCGUUCCAUUAGCUAGUUGGUGAGGUAACGGCCCACCAAGGCGACGAUCCAUAGCCGACCUGAGAGGGUGACCGGCCACAUUGGGACUGAGACACGGCCCAAACUCCUACGGGAGGCAGCAGUGGGGAAUAUUGCACAAUGGGCGAAAGCCUGAUGCAGCGACGCCGCGUGAGCGAAGAAGUAUUUCGGUAUGUAAAGCUCUAUCAGCAGGGAAGAUAAUGACGGUACCUGACUAAGAAGCACCGGCUAAAUACGUGCCAGCAGCCGCGGUAAUACGUAUGGUGCAAGCGUUAUCCGGAUUUACUGGGUGUAAAGGGAGCGCAGGCGGUGCGGCAAGUCUGAUGUGAAAGCCCGGGGCUCAACCCCGGUACUGCAUUGGAAACUGUCGUACUAGAGUGUCGGAGGGGUAAGCGGAAUUCCUAGUGUAGCGGUGAAAUGCGUAGAUAUUAGGAGGAACACCAGUGGCGAAGGCGGCUUACUGGACGAUAACUGACGCUGAGGCUCGAAAGCGUGGGGAGCAAACAGGAUUAGAUACCCUG
rnacentral:rRNA from 1 species